rnacentral:rRNA from 1 species
UGGGGAAUUUUCCGCAAUGGGCGCAAGCCUGACGGAGCAACGCCGCGUGAGGGAGGAAUGCCUGUGGGUUGUAAACCUCUUUUCUCUGGGAAGAAGGUCUGACGGUACCAGAGGAAUCAGCAUCGGCUAACUCCGUGCCAGCAGCCGCGGUAAGACGGAGGAUGCGAGCGUUAUCCGGAAUUAUUGGGCGUAAAGCGUCCGUAGGCGGUUAUUUAAGUCUGCUGUUAAAGAUCACAGCUCAACUGUGGGAUGGCGGUGGAAACUGGGUGACUAGAGUUCGGUAGGGGUAGAGGGAAUUCCCAGUGUAGCGGUGAAAUGCGUAGAUAUUGGGAAGAACACCAGUGGCGAAGGCGCUCUACUGGGCCGAGACUGACGCUGAUGGACGAAAGCUAGGGGAGCGAAAGGGAUUAGAUACCCCUGUAGUCC